GCUCUCUGCCGCUGCUCAGGGCUGCCAUCAGAAGGGGAGCGCUGGCAGUGCUCACGCUGCUUUCCAUAGCACAAACUGGGAGCGCUCGGCUCGCUGCGGGACUCCAGGAAUGAGUGCGCACGGAGGAUCCGUGUAGCUGCCCCUGCCUGCGCACAGGGUGCCGGCUUUGGGCUCUGCCUCCUGCCCGCGGCUCUGGUGCUGCCAACUCCUCACCAGCCCUGCAGGUAGAGGAGAAUCUUUAACAAGAUUGGGUAGAAAAGAGGAGACAAGUUCUCUUUACUAUUCCAUGGGAAAAUAAGCUGUUGGAUUAUUGUCUGGAAACUGUGUGAAGUGCCAAGAUGAGCAGUGAGAGGCUGGAGAACCCUGGUCCCUCCUCACUGACUGAAGGCCUGAAGAGAAAGAGGGGAAGACCAAAGAAACAGCCACAGGAGGAGGCUGUGGGCCCACUGCCAGCGAAAAAGCCACGAGGAAGGCCAAAAGGAAGCAAGAAAGUGAGCAGUGUAACUGGACAAAUGGUAACAGUGAACGGCUUGUGUGCUUUACCAAAGGGAGGAGAGAUGCUGGCUGUACGAGA
rnacentral:lncRNA from 1 species